UUAAGCGACUAAGCGUACACGGUGGAUGCCCUGGCAGUCAGAGGCGAUGAAGGGCGUGCUAAUCUGCGAUAAGCGCCGGUAAGGUGAUAUGAACCGUUAUAACCGGCGAUACCCGAAUGGGGAAACCCAGUGUGAUUCGUCACACUAUCAUUAACUGAAUCCAUAGGUUAAUGAGGCGAACCGGGGGAACUGAAACAUCUAAGUACCCCGAGGAAAAGAAAUCAACCGAGAUUCCCCCAGUAGCGGCGAGCGAACGGGGAGGAGCCCAGAGCCUGAAUCAGCAUGUGUGUUAGUGGAAGCGUCUGGAAAGGCGCGCGAUACAGGGUGACAGCCCCGUACACAAAAGCGCAUGUGCUGUGAGCUCGAUGAGUAGGGCGGGACACGUGGUAUCCUGUCUGAAUAUGGGGGGACCAUCCUCCAAGGCUAAAUACUCCUGACUGACCGAUAGUGAACCAGUACCGUGAGGGAAAGGCGAAAAGAACCCCGGCGAGGGGAGUGAAAAAGAACCUGAAACCGUGUACGUACAAGCAGUGGGAGCACAGGUUUACCUGUGUGACUGCGUACCUUUUGUAUAAUGGGUCAGCGACUUAUAUUCUGUAGCAAGGUUAACCGUAUAGGGGAGCCGUAGGGAAACCGAGUCUUAACCGGGCGUUAAGUUGCAGGGUAUAGACCCGAAACCCGGUGAUCUAGCCAUGGGCAGGUUGAAGGUUGGGUAACACUAACUGGAGGACCGAACCGACUAAUGUUGAAAAAUUAGCGGAUGACCUGUGGCUGGGGGUGAAAGGCCAAUCAAACCGGGAGAUAGCUGGUUCUCCCCGAAAGCUAUUUAGGUAGCGCCUCGUGAAUUCAUCUCCGGGGGUAGAGCACUGUUUCGGCUAGGGGGCCAUCCCGGCUUACCAACCCGAUGCAAACUGCGAAUACCGGAGAAUGUUAUCACGGGAGACACACGGCGGGUGCUAACGUCCGUCGUGAAGAGGGAAACAACCCAGACCGCCAGCUAAGGUCCCAAAGUCAUGGUUAAGUGGGAAACGAUGUGGGAAGGCCCAGACAGCCAGGAUGUUGGCUUAGAAGCAGCCAUCAUUUAAAGAAAGCGUAAUAGCUCACUGGUCGAGUCGGCCUGCGCGGAAGAUGUAACGGGGCUAAACCAUGCACCGAAGCUGCGGCAGCGACACUGUGUGUUGUUGGGUAGGGGAGCGUUCUGUAAGCCUGUGAAGGUGUGUCGUGAGGCAUGCUGGAGGUAUCAGAAGUGCGAAUGCUGACAUAAGUAACGAUAAAGCGGGUGAAAAGCCCGCUCGCCGGAAGACCAAGGGUUCCUGUCCAACGUUAAUCGGGGCAGGGUGAGUCGACCCCUAAGGCGAGGCCGAAAGGCGUAGUCGAUGGGAAACAGGUUAAUAUUCCUGUACUUGGUGUUACUGCGAAGGGGGGACGGAGAAGGCUAUGUUGGCCGGGCGACGGUUGUCCCGGUUUAAGCGUGUAGGUGUGUGUUCCAGGUAAAUCCGGUUCACUUUAACACUGAGGCGUGAUGACGAGGCACUACGGUGCUGAAGCAACAAAUGCCCUGCUUCCAGGAAAAGCCUCUAAGCAUCAGGUAACAUCAAAUCGUACCCCAAACCGACACAGGUGGUCAGGUAGAGAAUACCAAGGCGCUUGAGAGAACUCGGGUGAAGGAACUAGGCAAAAUGGUGCCGUAACUUCGGGAGAAGGCACGCUGACACGUAGGUGAAGUGAUUUACUCAUGGAGCUGAAGUCAGUCGAAGAUACCAGCUGGCUGCAACUGUUUAUUAAAAACACAGCACUGUGCAAACACGAAAGUGGACGUAUACGGUGUGACGCCUGCCCGGUGCCGGAAGGUUAAUUGAUGGGGUCAGCGCAAGCGAAGCUCCUGAUCGAAGCCCCGGUAAACGGCGGCCGUAACUAUAACGGUCCUAAGGUAGCGAAAUUCCUUGUCGGGUAAGUUCCGACCUGCACGAAUGGCGUAAUGAUGGCCAGGCUGUCUCCACCCGAGACUCAGUGAAAUUGAACUCGCUGUGAAGAUGCAGUGUACCCGCGGCAAGACGGAAAGACCCCGUGAACCUUUACUAUAGCUUGACACUGAACAUUGAGCCUUGAUGUGUAGGAUAGGUGGGAGGCUUUGAAGCGUGGACGCCAGUCUGCGUGGAGCCGACCUUGAAAUACCACCCUUUAAUGUUUGAUGUUCUAACGUGGACCCGUAAUCCGGGUUGCGGACAGUGUCUGGUGGGUAGUUUGACUGGGGCGGUCUCCUCCUAAAGAGUAACGGAGGAGCACGAAGGUUGGCUAAUCCUGGUCGGACAUCAGGAGGUUAGUGCAAUGGCAUAAGCCAGCUUGACUGCGAGCGUGACGGCGCGAGCAGGUGCGAAAGCAGGUCAUAGUGAUCCGGUGGUUCUGAAUGGAAGGGCCAUCGCUCAACGGAUAAAAGGUACUCCGGGGAUAACAGGCUGAUACCGCCCAAGAGUUCAUAUCGACGGCGGUGUUUGGCACCUCGAUGUCGGCUCAUCACAUCCUGGGGCUGAAGUAGGUCCCAAGGGUAUGGCUGUUCGCCAUUUAAAGUGGUACGCGAGCUGGGUUUAGAACGUCGUGAGACAGUUCGGUCCCUAUCUGCCGUGGGCGCUGGAGAACUGAGGGGGGCUGCUCCUAGUACGAGAGGACCGGAGUGGACGCAUCACUGGUGUUCGGGUUGUCAUGCCAAUGGCACUGCCCGGUAGCUAAAUGCGGAAGAGAUAAGUGCUGAAAGCAUCUAAGCACGAAACUUGCCCCGAGAUGAGUUCUCCCUGAGACUUAGAGUCUCCUGAAGGAACGUUGAAGACGACGACGUUGAUAGGCCGGGUGUGUAAGCGCAGCGAUGCGUUGAGCUAACCGGUACUAAUGAACCGUGAGGCUUAACCUU
rnacentral:rRNA from 1 species